AUGAGGAAGCCAAUUUCAAAUCUCAGAAUAAGCAAAGAGGGGUUCAGAGUAAAUAGGCCAACUGACAUACUUUAGUAAGUGGCAAGCUUGGCAUUUUUAUACAGAUCCAUUGAACUCGUAGUGUUACAUAACAUAUUGUCAAGGCUCAUAGUGUUAUAUAACAUAUUGUCACAUAUCAAACACCUUCUACACAAAUUGAUACACACCUUCAAUCUUCUACCAAAAGGCAAACUUAAUCAAUCAGUAUUGAUUGGGUAGAUUAUUGGAAUGUUUGAAGUUAUUUGUAAAACCCAAGAU
rnacentral:lncRNA from 1 species